UACGAAGGGGGCAAGCGUUGUUCGGAAUUACUGGGCGUAAAGGGCGCGUAGGCGGCUUAUCAAGUCAGGCGUGAAAUUCCCGGGCUCAACCUGGGGGCUGCGCUUGAUACUGAUGAGCUUGAAUGCGGGAGAGGAUAGUGGAAUUCCCAGUGUAGAGGUGAAAUUCGUAGAUAUUGGGAAGAACACCGGUGGCGAAGGCGGCUAUCUGGCCCGUAAUUGACGCUGAGGCGCGAAAGCGUGGGGGAGCAAACAGG
rnacentral:rRNA from 1 species